rnacentral:rRNA from 1 species
UACGUAGGGGGCGAGCGUUGUCCGGAAUUAUUGGGCGUAAAGAGCGUGUAGGCGGUUCGGUAAGUCUGCCGUGAAAACCUGGGGCUCAACCCCGGGCGUGCGGUGGAAACUGCCGGGCUAGAGGGUGGUAGAGGCGAGUGGAAUUCCCGGUGUAGCGGUGAAAUGCGCAGAUAUCGGGAGGAACACCAGUAGCGAAGGCGGCUCGCUGGGCCAUUCCUGACGCUGAGACGCGAAAGCUAGGGGAGCGAACAGG